rnacentral:rRNA from 1 species
ACGCUCGACACCUACGGGAGGCAGCAGUGGGGAAUAUUGCACAAUGGAGGAAACUCUGAUGCAGCGAUGCCGCGUGAGGGAAGAAGGUUUUCGGAUUGUAAACCUCUGUCUUUGGGGACGAUAAUGACGGUACCCAAGGAGGAAGCUCCGGCUAACUACGUGGCAGCAGCCGCGGUAAUCUGAGCGGGCUGGCAAGGC